rnacentral:rRNA from 1 species
AGCAGCCGCGGUAAUUCCAGCUCCAAUAGCGUAUAUUAAAGUUGUUGCAGUUAAAAAGCUCGUAGUUGAAUUUCGGGGUUAGUAGAUUGGUCAUGCCUCUGGUAUGUACUGGUCUCACUGAUUCCUCCUUCCUGAUGAACCUGAAUGCCAUUAAUUUGGUGUUUUGGGGAAUUUGGACUGUUACUUUGAAAAAAUUAGAGUGUUUAAAGCAAGCUAACGCUUGAAUACAUUAGCAUGGAAUAAUGAAAUAGGACGUUCGAUCCUAUUUUGUUGGUUUCUAGGAUUGACGUAAUGAUUAAUAGGGAUAGUUGGGGGCAUUAGUAUUCAAUCGUCAGAGGUGAAAUUCUUGGAUUUAUUGAAGACUAACUACUGCGAAAGCAUUUGCCAAGGAUGUUUUCAUUAAUCAAGAACGAAAGUUAGGGGAUCGAAGACGAUCAGAUACCGUCGUAGUCUUAACCAUAAACUAUGCCGACUAGGGAUCGGAUGAUGUUAAUUUUUUAAUGACUCA